rnacentral:sRNA from 1 species
GAGAGAGACCUGGGUUGAUAGCUGCUGGAAUGGAAUACAAGUUUUUUAGAGGUUUGGUUUGAAUGUUUGGUAGCAAGCCACAUCCUGUGAAUUUUUAAUCUUUAUAUUUAUGUAUAUAUACAAUAUAUUUAUGUAUGGUUCACUAUAUAUGGGUAGGUUUAUAGUUAUAUAACUUGCUCUCUGUGGUUCUUUGGAUCUUUGAGAUAGAUUUAUUUCAGUGGAAAACAUCUGGGGUUUCGAGCGAUAAAGGAAGUCCUUCCUGCUUCUGCUGUCCCACUGAACUUUACAUGGAUUGAUAGAAUCGAUCUAUGUAUUUCAUGACUCAUUAGAUCGAGCGCUAGAUGCGAAGUCAAGAAUCCAACAGCGAAGAAUCCUGGCGUCAACCAAAAUCCCGUAUAUGUGUGUAUAUCUACUAACAGAAUAAUUUUCCCCUUUUUUGGGCUUAACUAGUGUUAAUUGAGUUGCUUUUAACGGAUACUGUUUCUCAAUGUAGUUGUUACAUAAUUUAUGUCUACCCAUUUUCUCGUUCUGGACAUCUUGUUUAUUCUAGUUCUCGAUUUUUCUUUAAUUUAUUCAAUACAAAAGUU